AGUGAUUAUUGAUUGAUUGAUGCCACGAACUAUGACAGUGGUUUAUUAUUAUUUACAGUCAUUAAUUAUUCGAUAUAAUUUUUAACGAUUUCCGUUUUCAAAUUCCAACUAAUAGCACAAAGUCUGCAAAACGGAGCACGUCCGGGUGUAUAACUAAUAACGAAAACGAUUUUGCAUUUCUUCACAACAGCCCCCUUUGGAAAUUCCCGGGUACACGUCUAGUCUCCGUGAAUUAUACAAUAUACCUAC